CACACACACACACACACACACACACACACACACGAGUAAUUAAACCAGUGUUAUCAGUUAGCUAAACUAGGACACAAUUAACAUACUUUGAAGUGUGUAUUGCAUCUUUUACCAAAGGUGAGGCAAUUGGUUUUGCUAUAGUAUAAUAUAGUAUAGUAUGGUAUAGUAUAGUAUCACCAAAUGUGAGGGAUUAGGUUAGGUUUUGCUAUAGUAUAAUGUAGUAUAGUAUUCAUAUAUCGUAAAAUACAGUAAAUCAGCAUGAAAUGAAAAUUCACCCUCUAUUUUCUAAAUGCAUGUUAUUGAUCUUUUUGUGAACGAUUCAUCCAUGCAUACUGUAAGUUUUAUUUUAUUUUUUAUUUUUUUCGACCUCGUAAUCUUUAAUCAAAAUGUUGUAAAAAUUCCUUGUGUAUGCGAGAACAGUAGGCAAUAAAGCUCAUUCUGAUUCUGAUAACUUGAUCUUCUGUUGAAACGACAGACUUCUCUCUGGUGACGUAUGCAGGACUUCUCCAAUCAUUUAGUCCGCUUAAAUCCCUCCCCUUUCUUAUAAAUACCACAACUUUGCGUAGAGUUGAACGAAGUGUCAAUUGCAUGUUGGUGAAGAUGGCAAGGUGUAUUUUCGUUUGUUUCCCUUCAAAACUAUCGUUCCUUAACCCAAACUUCCUUGGUUACGGGUCAGCUGGCUUGAAUUUACAUUUCAAAUGAGGAGGAAUAACGGCUAAUUCACGACUGUAUUUGAGACAUUUCAUGCCCGAAUUGCUGAGGUGAUCACUAAUGAAUACAACGCUUUGGAUGCCGCUGGAGUUUAUUUAUAUUUUUGAAUGCAGUUAUCUUGGGAUGCACAGCACGAGUAAGUGUUUUUUCCUUUAUAUUUAGUGUAUUGUGAUUCAAAAAGUUAAAAUAUGAUUAUCUUUUACUCACUCGUUUUUCAGUGGCUACAGCCUCAUCUUAAGCAUAGACCAUGUGCUUGUGCGUUUGCUGUCAGUUUGAUCAUUAAUGUGUUGAGACUGCUGCUCAGUUUCACCGAUAACCGGCACUGAUUCAAGCAGCACAGUGGUGGGGGGGGUGUGUGUGUCCGCUGCAAACUCGCAUUCAGAUCUGCCUCUGUUCCGCUAUGCAAUGGCUAUAUUUUAUAGUUCGCUAGUUCGAAUCCCAGGGCAUGCUGAGUGACUCCAGCCAGGUCUCCUAAGCAACCAAAUUGGCCUGGUUGCUAGGGAGGGUAGAGUCACAUGGGGUAACCUCUUCGUGGUCGCUAUAAUGUGGUUUGUUCUCGGUGGAGCGCAUGGUGCAUUGAGCGCGGAUGCCGCGGUGGAUGGCGUGAAGCCUCCACACGCGCUAUGUCUCCGUGGCAACGCGCUCAACAAGCCACGUGAUAAGAUGCACGGGUUGACUGUCUCAGAUGCGGAGGCAACUGUGAUUUUACUCGGAAAUACAUCACAAUACAGAAGUCGUUUCAUGCCGACUUUAAGUUUGUUUUUACUAUAGUAUAGUAUAGCCAACGGUGAAGGAUUAGGCUAGGUUUUGCUAUAGUAUAGUAAACUAUAGUAUAGAAUACCCAACGGUGAAAGAUUAGGUUAGGUUUUGCUGUAGUAAAGUACAGUAUAAUAUAGCAUAGCAUAUAAGCAAGUUUUGCUAUAUUAUAGUAUAGUUUAAACAAUGGUGAGGGAUUGUCAGUUUUUUUGCUAUAGUAUUGUAAUGUAUUUUAUAGCCAACGGUGAGGGAUUAGGUUAGGUUUUGCUAUAGUAUUUUAAGUAUAGUAUAGAAUAGCAUGUUUGGUUAUAGUAUAGUUUAACCAAUGGUCAGGGAUUAGGUUAGGUUUUGCUAUAGUAAACCACAUUAUGUAUAAAGUUAGAUUUUGCUAUGGUAUAGCAAUGUGCAGUAUAGUAUAGCAAAGCAUACAGCAGGUUUUGCUAUAAUAUAAAAUAGUAUAAUCAACUGUGAGGGAUUAGGUUACUUUCUGCUAUAGUAAAGUACAGUAGCAUACAGUACAGUAUAGCCAACAGUGAGGGACUAGGUUAGUUUUUACUACAAUAUAGUAAAGUAUUGUAUACUGCAAGUAUAGGAUUAGAUUUUGCUAUGGUAUAGUAAUGUACAGUAAAGUAUAGCAUAGCAUACCGCAGGUUUUUCCUAUAGUAUAGAUUAACCAACUGUGAGGGAUUGGGUUGGUUUUUGCUCUAGUAUAGUAUGGUCAACUGUGAGGGAUUACAUUCGUUUUUACUAUAGUACAGUAAAGUAUAGUAUGCCCAAAAGUAAGGGUUAAGGUUUGGUUUUGCAGUGGUAUAGUAGUGUACAAUUUUGUAUAGCAUAGGAUUUGGCAGGUUUUGCUCUAGUAUAGUAUAACCAACUGUGAGGGAUUAGGUUAGUUUCUUCUCUAGUAUAGUAUAGUUAACUGUGAGGGAUUAGGUUAGUUUCUGCUCUAGUAUAGUAUAGUCAACUGUGAGGGAUUAGGUUAGUUUCUGCUCUAGUAUAGUAUAGUCAACUGUGAGGGAUUAGGUUAGUUUCUGCUCUAGUAUAGUCAACUGUGAGGGAUUAGGUUAGUUUUUGCUCUAGUAUAGUAUAGUCAACUGUGAGGGAUUAGGUUAGUUUCUGCUCUAGUAUAGUAUAGUCGACUGUGAGGGAUUAGGUUAGUUUCUGCUCUAGUACAGUAUAGUCAACUGUGAGGGAUUAGGUUAGUUUCUGCUCUAGUAUAGUCAACUGUGAGGGAUUAGGUUAGUUUCUGCUCUAGUAUAGUAUAGUCAACUGUGAGGGAUUAGGUUAGUUUCUGCUCUAGUAUAGUAUAGUCAACUGUGAGGGAUUAGGUUAGUUUCUGCUCUAGUAUAGUCAACUGUGAGGGAUUAGGUUAGUUUUUGCUCUAGUAUAGUAUAGUCAACUGUGAGGGAUUAGGUUAGUUUCUGCUCUAGUAUAGUCAACUGUGAGGGAUUAGGUUAGUUUUUGCUCUAGUAUAGUAUAGUCAACUGUGAGGGAUUAGGUUAGUUUCUGCUCUAGUAUAGUAUAGUCGACUGUGAGGGAUUAGGUUAGUUUCUGCUCUAGUACAGUAUAGUCAACUGUGAGGGAUUAGGUUAGUUUCUGCUCUAGUAUAGUAUAGUCAACUGUGAGGGUUAGUUAUUACUCUAGUAUAGUAUAGUCAACUGUGAGGGAUUAGGUUAGUUUCUGCUCUAGUAUAGUCAACUGUGAGGGAUUAGGUUAGUUUCUUCUCUAGUAUAGUAUAGUCAACUGUGAGGGAUUAGGUUAGUUUUUGCUCUAGUAUAGUAUAGUCAACUGUGAGGGAUUAGGUUAGUUUCUUCUCUAGUAUAGUAUAGUCAACUGUGAGGGAUUAGGUUAGUUUUUACUAUAGUAUAGUAAAGCAUAGUAUGCCCAAAAGUAAGGGUUAAGGUUAGGUUUUGCAAUGGUAUAUUAAUGCAGUUUAGUAUAGCAUAGCAUAUGGCAGGUUUUGCUAUAGUAUAGUAUAUCUAACAGUGAGGGAUUAUGUUAGUUUUUGUUAUUGUAUAGUACAGUAGUUUAGUAUAGCAUAGUAAUGUAUACUGCAGCACAGAGUAGCAUAGCAAUAAAAGCUUCAUAAAGGGACUAUUUAAUGUCUUAAUGAAAAAAAUUUAAUUGCUUAAAGUAUGUAAGGAUUACAGCAUAGUUAUUAAAAAAUACA